GACGAACGCUGGCGGCGUGCCUAAUACAUGCAAGUCGAACGCAGUGGGGACGGGUGAGUAACACGUGGGUAACCUCCCAUCAGAGGGGAUAACACUUGGAAACAGGUGCUAAACCGAUAGUGAUGGCUGGACCCGCGGGGCAUUAGCUAGUUGGUGUGGUAACGGCUCCACAAGGCCACGAUGCAUAGCCGGCCUGAGAGGGUGAUCAGCCAGACUGGGACUGAGACACGGUCCAGACUCCUACGGGAGGCAGCAGUAGGGAAUCUUCGGCAAUGGACGAAAGUCUGACCGAGCCACGCCGCGUGAGUGAAGAAGGUUUUCGGAUCGUAAAACACUUUUGUUGGGGAAGCGUUACCUACCCAGAAAGCCACGGCUAACUACGUGCCAGCAGCCGCGGUAAUUC
rnacentral:rRNA from 1 species